AAAGGUGCCAAUUAUGAGUGU
rnacentral:miRNA from 1 species